UGGUAUAAUAGGGAUAUCCUCCAGUUCUCUUGCCAUCCUCUGUAAUUCCAUUUCACUAAUGGCAUUGAACACUGGAUCCCUGUCUUCGUCAAUCUCAAAAUCUGCAAAAUCUUGAACUAAAAAUGGACACACAAACAUAAGAAACUGUUCGGCGUUUCGUUGUUGUUGCUCAAACCGGUUUUGCAUUUGAACACCUAGUCUUCCUAUGCCUAUAGUUAACAAUUUAACAAAUAAUUCUAAGUACUUAAAUGGUAUUAUUUUGAGGAUAAAUAUUUUUAAUUUGAUAAAAAUCAAACCUCCAACAACGUUGUUUUCCACAUUUUCUGUAAGAAUUGGUUCUGAAAUGUUAUUUAUACAAAAUAAUAAUUAGGUAAUUGCAUAUUGUCAUUGCGAACAUUGAACUGAAUAUUUUAGUUAUUUUUUUAUUCACCAAUAAUUUCAAUAAUUUGGGGUGGAACAAUUUCAUUGUGUACAUCAAUGCGGCCAACUCCACGUCUUCGUUCUAAGAAAUACAAUUUUUUAAUGUAAACAUUAUGUAUAUUUCAUACCUGCAUCAUAAGCCAAAUGCCCAGUGUACAAUAGGAAUUCUUUAACAGAAAUCCUAUUCUGGGCCAACCGUUCACAGGCUGCGCUGAUUUUUCUAUCAAGUUGAACGUAAGUUCGACGUCGGGCUCUUAGAGCUGGUCUUUGUUGCAUCCUCUCAUACCUUGUGCCAUACUCUUGCUCAAUUUGAUUAAUGUUUCUAUUGAUAUUAUUCAUUGAAGCAUUUUAAUUUAUUGCAUUAGUUAGAAAUUACAGUAGAAGAGUAUGUAUAUGACUUCCGAUUGGUUUGGAAAAAUACUCAAAAAUUACGGAUGAAUAAAGUACAUUAUUUAUCAUAAAUCAUAAUAUUUUAAAAACAUGGGGUGGUUUUUAUUAAUUUUAUCUACUAGAUAAGUUAUAUUAUAAGUUUAAAGUUAUAAAAUGUACUAAGACUUUUUAAAAAUAACUUAUUUAAUAACAAUAUACAUUUUUUAUUUUGAAAAUAUUUUUUUGGAAUAAUCAAAAUAAUGAUUAUGUAUAUAAAAUAUUAAAUUAUAACUUUUAUUAAUGUAAAUAUGUUGAUUUUAU